UUAAAUUGAAGAGUUUGAUCAUGGCUCAGAUUGAACGCUGGCGGCAGGCCUAACACAUGCAAGUCGAACGGUAACAGGAAGCAGCUUGCUGCUUUGCUGACGAGUGGCGGACGGGUGAGUAAUGUCUGGGAAACUGCCCGAUGGAGGGGGAUAACUACUGGAAACGGUAGCUAAUACCGCAUAACGUCGCAAGA
rnacentral:rRNA from 1 species